GUUCGCGCCCAGCCCAGCCGCUCCCCCCCCCCGCAGCCUCGGUCCCCCCGAGCCGGUGUGAGCCGCUGGACCCCUGCGGUGUGAGGGCAGAGACCGUCGGGGCGCGCUGGGGUCGGUGCCGGGCUGUAGCCCAAGUCAAGGUGGAAUAAUGACUGUUGCCUGCUAAUAGGUUUGGCCGCAGGAGCUUUCGUGCGUUAAUUAAAUAUUUCUUUUCAAGGCAUCUCUCUGAACUGGGGCGGUGAAUAUGCGGUAGCCUGGGGUGAAUUCAGCCGGUGGGGCCGUUGGAGCGUCUCUCGCCUGGACCCCGCGAGGCCUGCGGUGAUGGAGGCGCUGCCUGAGCUCUACGCCAUCUUCCAGGGAGAGGUUGCUACAGUGACAGAAUACGGGGCAUUUAUAAAAAUCCCAGGCUGCAGGAAACAAGGCCUUGUCCAUAAGACUCACAUGUCCUCCUGCCGUGUGGAUAAACCCUCAGAGAUAGUAGAUGUUGGAGACAAAGUAUGGGUGAAGCUUAUUGGAAAAGAGAUGAAAGAUGACAAACUGAAGCUUUCCCUCUCCAUGAAGGUUGUUAACCAAGGCACAGGAAAAGACCUUGAUCCAAACAAUGUUUCCCUUGAUCAGGAUGAGAGGAAAAAACGCACGUUCAGAGACUACACGAGUCAGAAGAUCACGCUUGAAGCUGUCUUGAACACUGUGUGCAAGAAAUGCGGUUGCAAAGGUCAUUUUGCCAAGGAGUGUUUCAUGCAGCCUGGAGGUACCAAAUAUAGCCUCAUUCCAGAAGAGGAGGAAGAGGAGGUGGCAGCAGCAGGAUAUGAAAGAGAUAAAAAGACCAGCAUGGUUGAUGAGCCUCCAAAAAAAAGGAAAAAGGCUCUUAUUCAAGAAUGUCUUGUACUUGUCUGCAGAGCAUCAUUACGCUGCGAUAGAAAAUACACCUGGUCUUCUUUCUACUCUGAUCUUGGAAGCACACGAUUGAACAGAGUUGUCUCUCAGAUCCCAGGCUAACUGCGACUCUGACCUUUCUGGAGUCCAGAUGUUGGGCUUCCCUCUUGCCAUGGAGCAGUGUGUGAGCAGGCUGUUGGAGAAGAAGAAGAAAAAGAAGCACAAGAAUAAGCAGUCCUCCGAGUCAGACUCAGACAGCUCGGACUCGUACAGCGAUGGGGCUCAGCCAGCCAGCAAGAGGACCAAGCAUUCGGGGAAGCCCAGCAAGGCUCAGAAGAAGAAGAAGAAAAAGAAGCAUAAGAAGAAGCCCCGGGAUUGAGCAGGCAGGCAGGCAGGGGUACUGGCAUUGUGAGUCCCUGGUGCACACCAUGAGGAGCGAGCAGAACUGAAUCAGUGCACCCCUUGCUCCAGGGACAAGGAGUUUCCUUCUCCUAAAAGUAACGCUCGGCGUGCGGUGUUACAGGUGUUGACUUUGAUACAAGUUGUCCUCUGUUACUUUAGGCGCAAGCUGCCGUUUUCUCCCACCAGUAGGCAUUCCUGCCAAAAUAGGCUAAUUGCACCCCUUAGUCGGCACCUCUCCCAUCCUGUAGCCUCAUCGUUUCGCUGGGUAAGCUGCCAGUGCUCGGCCGCUCCCCUGGACAGUGCGGCCAGCUGCACCGAGCCUGCAUGACAUCAGCCCCCAUCCAGUUGCCUGUAAAAGGUGGAGCCGCGCAGCUGUGCUUUCCCUGCCUGUCCCGGCACUGUGCUCGGGGACAGAGGUGGUUGUUGCUGGGACCUGUGAUGGUACCUCCCAGCUGGUAACAGUGUGGAGCUGCUUGGCUUUGGUCUGCAAACCUUCCCCCAGCCUCACUCAUUUCAUCUGCAAACAUUGGGAGUGAAAGAGUAAGAAGCAAAUGGGAGAGUGGAGGUAUUUUAAGUAAACAUUAACUGUGGUGUGUUUGCCGCCUUGCAAAGUGAUGAAAAAUAAAUCUCUCCAAUCUCCA